CUAGCUGUAAACGUUGGAUACUGGGUAUUGGGGGUAUAGAUUCCCUCAGUGCCGAAGCAAACGCGAUAAGUAUCCCGCCUGGGGACUACGGCCGCAAGGUUAAAACUCAAAGGAAUUGACGGGGGCCCGCACAAGCAGCGGAGCGUGUGGUUUAAUUCGAUGCGACACGAAGAACCUUACCUGGGUUUGACAUGUACGUAGUAGGGGACCGAAAGGCGACCGACCCUUCGGGGAGCGUACACAGGUGC
rnacentral:rRNA from 1 species